CAAUAGCGUAUAUUAAUGUUGUUGCGGUUAAAAAGCUCGUAGUUGGAUCUCGGCAGGCAGGGGGUGGUUCGCUCUUAGCGCUACUGCCCCAUUUGCCUGUGUGAUUGGCGGAGGUUUCGGGGUGCUCUUCGUUGAGUGACCCGGGGCGCCGUCAGGUUUACUUUGAAAAAAUUAGAGUGCUCAAAGCAGGCUUUUCACGCUUGAAUAUUCGUGCAUGGAAUAAUGGAAUAGGAACUCGUUUCUAUUUUGUUGGUUUUCGGAAAUCGAGUUAAUGAUUAAUAGGGACAAUUGGGGGCAUUAGUAUUCAGACGACAGAGGUGAAAUUCUUGGACCGUCUGAAGACUAACUACUGCGAAAGCAUUUGCCAAGAGUGUUUUCAUUAA
rnacentral:rRNA from 1 species